rnacentral:rRNA from 1 species
AACGAACGCUGGCGGCAUGCCUAACACAUGCAAGUCGAACGAUUGCCUUCGGGUGAUAGUGGCGCACGGGUGCGUAACGCGUGGGAAUCUACCCUUAGGUUCGGAAUAACAGCUGGAAACGGCUGCUAAUACCGGAUGAUAUCGCGAGAUCAAAGAUUUAUCGCCUGAGGAUGAGCCCGCGUUGGAUUAGGUAGUUGGUGGGGUAAAGGCCUACCAAGCCGACGAUCCAUAGCUGGUCUGAGAGGAUGAUCAGCCACACUGGGACUGAGACACGGCCCAGACUCCUACGGGAUGCAGCAGUGGCGAAUAUUGGACAAUGGGCGCAAGCCUGAUCCAGCAAGGCCGCGUGAGUGAUGAAGGCCCUAGGGUUGUAAAGCUCUUUUACCCGGGAAGAUAAUGACUGUACCGGGAGAAUAAGCCCCGGCUAACUCCGUG